rnacentral:rRNA from 1 species
CCUACGGGAGGCAGCAGUGGGGAAUAUUGGACAAUGGGGGGAACCCUGAUCCAGCCAUGCCGCGUGUGUGAAGAAGGCCCUCGGGUUGUAAAGCACUUUCAGUGAGGAAGAACGCCUGGUGGUUAAUACCCAUCAGGAAAGACAUCACUCACAGAAGAAGCACCGGCUAACUCCGUGCCAGCAGCCGCGGUAAUACGGAGGGUGCGAGCGUUAAUCGGAAUUACUGGGCGUAAAGCGCGCGUAGGUGGCUUGAUAAGCCGGUUGUGAAAGCCCCGGGCUCAACCUGGGAACGGCAUCCGGAACUGUCAAGCUAGAGUGCAGGAGAGGAAGGUAGAAUUGCCGGUGUAGCGGUGAAAUGCGUAGAGAUCGGGAGGAAUACCAGUGGCGAAGGCGGCCUUCUGGACUGACACUGACACUGAGGUGCGAAAGCGUGGGUAGCAAACAGGAUUAGAUACCCUAGUAGUC